CGAUGAACCUCCUUCGGGAGGGGAUUAGUGGCGAACGGGUGAGUAACACGUGGGCAAUCUGCCCUGCACUCUGGGACAAGCCCUGGAAACGGGGUCUAAUACCGGAUACGACCAUCGGGGGCAUCCCCGGUGGUGGAAAGCUCCGGCGGUGCAGGAUGAGCCCGCGGCCUAUCAGCUUGUUGGUGGGGUGACGGCCUACCAAGGCGACGACGGGUAGCCGGCCUGAGAGGGCGACCGGCCACACUGGGACUGAGACACGGCCCAGACUCCUACGGGAGGCAGCAGUGGGGAAUAUUGCACAAUGGGCGAAAGCCUGAUGCAGCGACGCCGCGUGAGGGAUGACGGCCUUCGGGUUGUAAACCUCUUUCAGCAGGGAAGAAGCGAAAGUGACGGUACCUGCAGAAGAAGCGCCGGCUAACUACGUGCCAGCAGCCGCGGUAAUACGUAGGGCGCGAGCGUUGUCCGGAAUUAUUGGGCGUAAAGAGCUCGUAGGCGGCUUGUCGCGUCGGUUGUGAAAGCCCGGGGCUUAACCCCGGGUCUGCAGUCGAUACGGGCAGGCUAGAGUUCGGUAGGGGAGAUCGGAAUUCCUGGUGUAGCGGUGAAAUGCGCAGAUAUCAGGAGGAACACCGGUGGCGAAGGCGGAUCUCUGGGCCGAUACUGACGCUGAGGAGCGAAAGCGUGGGGAGCGAACAGGAUUAGAUACCCUGGUAGUCCACGCCGUAAACGUUGGGCACUAGGUGUGGGCGACAUUCCACGUCGUCCGUGCCGCAGCUAACGCAUUAAGUGCCCCGCCUGGGGAG
rnacentral:rRNA from 1 species